rnacentral:snoRNA from 1 species
GUGUAAUGAUGUAACAUAAUGCAAACACUGAUUUGUGAUGUUUUCAAAGGAACCACUGAUUCAU